UACGUAGGUGGCAAGCGUUGUCCGGAAUCACUGGGCGUAAAGCGCGCGCAGGCGGCGAUCUACGUCUGGGGUGAAAGCCCGGAGCUCAACUCCGGGACUGCCUUGGAUACGGGAUCGCUUGAGGAUUGGAGAGGCAAGGGGAAUUCCACGUGUAGCGGUGAAAUGCGUAGAUAUCAGGAGGAACACCUGCGGUGUAGACGGCUUACUGGACGGUAACUGACGCUGAGGCACGAAAGCGUGGGUAGCAAACAGG
rnacentral:rRNA from 1 species